UACGUAGGUGGCAAGCGUUAUCCGGAAUUAUUGGGCGUAAAGCGCGCGCAGGCGGUUUCUUAAGUCUGAUGUGAAAGCCCACGGCUCAACCGUGGAGGGUCAUUGGAAACUGGGGAACUUGAGUGCAGAAGAGAAAAGCGGAAUUCCACGUGUAGCGGUGAAAUGCGUAGAGAUGUGGAGGAACACCAGUGGCGAAGGCGACUUUCUGGCCUAUAACUGACGCUGAGGCGCGAAAGCGUGGGGAGCAAACAGG
rnacentral:rRNA from 1 species